ensembl:lncRNA
AUGGACUGUCUAGUCCAAGGGGUCGCAAAGAGUCGCGGACACGACCGAGCGACUUUCAUUUUCACUUUCCUGUCCUUAAACAACCUGUACCCGCCUACCUUCUUUGCAGCUUCUCUCAGGAUGCUUUUCUUUUUUUUUUUCUUUGAAAUUAAAUCAAAACAAAAAGGGCUGCAAGGAAAGAGUAAGCAAGUGCUAGGUUCAGGAAGGACAGGGUGGUACUGGGAGCAGCUGACCAGAUCCAAGCUUGAUGGAGACCUGGCGUCUGUGGCCAUUGCCCUGCCUGGCCCCUGGGGGUCAUCCUGCUGGCAGGAGAGACCUCAGUGAUCAGCCUUAUGUCUUGGGAUCUAGCCUGAUUACUCACCUGCCUGGAUGACAAGGAGAUCUAUUUAAAACUUUAAUGAAGGGACCUAAGAUUUUUCAUUCUGCUGCUUGAAUCUACUCCUAGUAUGGCAUCAGAAACGUUGGCUCACCAGUCUUAAGGAUGAGAUGUUCGAGUCGCAAAGCAAGCUCUUUGUUUCACAAGUAAAAAGACCUCCUUGCGUAGCCAGGAGAGUGAUUCCAGGUCUCCCUCAUUCACUCUGAACGCCUCCGUCUAGUUUCUGGGUUCGGAUGCAGGGUGUUGGCUUAUUGCCAGCUGGACAUUAGCAGGAGAAGGUCAGAAGACCCCAGGUUCUGCUGCUGCGUCGAAACCAUUGACCUGCUGUGUCUGGGGCCUCACUUCAUGACUUUGGCUACCAUUUCUUCGCUUGGAAUCAAAACGACCCCUUCGUGAAACACCUCCGAAGGCUGUUGAGAAGACCAAACAGAGAUGGGAGAUUGUGAGAAUACUUCUAAAACCACAGUGAGUUCUGCAGACAGAGCUCCUAAUAGUGGAUCAUUUAAUGCUCAGCCUGUUGAGAACCUUUGUAUCCUGGUCAUAUACCGGGGCACCUGGCUGGAAGCAUCCUGAGAUGCAGCCUUAGGAAUGAACAAGGCGCGCUUUCCUCCCUCAAGUCACUUCCGUGGAGCCCCUUGAACUUGAAGAAUUUGAAGGCCAUUUAUUUAUUUAUUUUUUAAAUGACUGGGCAGGGAUUAAAGUUCUGUUUCCCAGAGGUAAUUCCACCAAACAGGAGUGUGAUUUCAUUUUAAAGCUUUAAAAAAAAAAAAAAAGUGUUUUGAUGAAUCUCUCUGGGCUUCAUUUUUCUAAAUAAGUACGUUUAUUUGCCUUGAGAAUCUCAAUGAGUAUUGCCGUGAACGUCUUUCUAGCUAACAAAAUGAGUGUGUUCCCUAUUUUUAUCUCAGUGUUGUAAUGAUUUGAAAGAGUGCUGAGCCCAUGAAAUUAUUUGUGGUUUUUCAACUUUGGGAACAUUCCUGGCCUUCUUCUGACAGCAGCAGGCUAGAACAUAUACAAAGUCGGUGCUGUUAAUAUUUCCUAGUUGUUGUCCACUGACUAGGCAUCUUUCAUGUUUGCUUGUUUUUUAAAUCUUUUUCCAUGCCAUGAAACAUGUGGGAUCUAAGUUCCCCCACCAGGGAUUGAACCCAUGCCUCCUGCAUUGAAAGCCCAGAGUCUUAACCGAUGUACUGCCAGGGAAGUCUCAAGGCAUCUUUAAUACAAGCAUUGUCCCUUCUUCAUUUUUAAGAAUCAUUCCCAAUUUACUUUUUCCUCCUAUCUGCAUGCAAAAUUUUGCCAAUUUUUCUCACAGUUUCAUUUUGAGUUACCUUUUCUUUCCCCUGCAUCAUGACUGUUUUUGUAUCACUACCUCGGAAAUUCACUGCUCUUGCAUUUAUGAGACCCAGUGAGGUUUGUUAUACAUUUGUAAAAUGCUUCAAAUCUGCGCACCUGCCCACACCCACACCUGCAACGCCCAGCAGAGUGGGGGGAAUUUUGUCCCAGAAGAUAGCUCUCAUCCAGUCUCAGAAAGGUCUUAGGUCUGUAAGUGGAAAAAGUUUUAUACUCUUGCUCAGUCUUAUUUCGUUAAGAAUUUUAAGUCAAGAAUGAAAUUUUAAUUUUAUCAAAAGCUCUUCCAAACUUACAGAGAAGAUCAUAAGCAUUUUUUUUUUCCUUUUGGUCUAUUUAAACGGAAGACUGUGUGGCUGUUAUUGUUCGGUCACUCAGUUGUGUCCGACUCUUUGUGACCCCAUGGACUGCAGCACGCCAGGCUCCCCUGUCCUUCACUAUCUCCCGGAGUUUGCUCAAAUUCAUGUCCAUUGAGUUGGUGAUGCCAUCCAACCAUCUCAUCCUCUGUCAUCCCUUUCCCCCCUACCCUCAAACUUUCCCAGCAUCAGGGUCUUUUCCAAUGAGUUGGCUCUUGGUAUCAGGUAGCCAAAGUACUGGAAUUUCAGCAUCAGUCCUUCCAAUGACUAUUCAAGGUUGAUUUCCUUAAAGGAUUGACUGGCUUGAUUUUGAAGUCCAGGGGAAUCUUAAGAGCCUUUUCCAGCACCACAGAUUAAAAGCAUCAAUUCUUUUGUGCUCAGCGUUCUUUGUAGUCCAACUCUCACAUCUGUACAUGACUUCUGGGAAAACCAUAGCUUUGACUCUGUGUUCCUUUGUUGGCAUAGUGAUGUCUUUGCUUUUUAAUACACUGUCAUAACUUCAAAGGAACAAGAGUCUUUUACUUUCCUGGCUGCAGUCACUGUCCAAAGUGACUUUGGAGCCCAAGAAAAUAAAAUGUCACUGUUUCUGCUUUUUUCCCCAUCUAUUUGCUAUAAAGUGAUGGGACCAGAUACCACAAUCAUAGUUCUUUGAAUGUUGAGUUUUAAGCCAGCUUUUUCACUUUCCUCUUUCACCCUCAUCAAGAGGCUCUUUAGUUCCUCUUUGCUUUCUGCCAUUAGAGUGGUAUCACCUGCUUAUCUGAGGUGGUUGUUAUUUCUCCCAGCAAUCUUAAUUCCAGUUUGUGAGUCAUCCAGCCAGGCAUUUCACAUGAUGUACUCUGCAUAUAAGUUAAAUAAGCAAGGUGACAAUACACAGCCUUGACAUACUCCUUUCCCAAUUUGAAACUAUUCCAUUGUUGUGUGUCUAGUUCUAACUGUUCGUUCUUAACUCAAUACAGGUUUCUCAGCAGACAGAUAAGGUGGUCUGAUAUUCCCAUCUCUUUAAGAAUUGUCCAGUUUGUUGUGAUCCACACAGUAAAAGGCUUUAGCGUAGUCAAUGAAGCAGAAAUAGAUGUUUUCUGGAAUUGCCUUGCUUUCUCUAUGACCCAACAAAUAUGGGCCAUUUGAUCUCUGGUUCCUCUGCAUUUUCUAAAUCCAGCUUGUAUAGCUGGAAGUUCUCAGUUCACAUACUGCUGAAGCCUAGCUUGAAGGAUUUUGAGCAUUACUUUGCUAGCAUGUGAAAUGAGCGCAAUCGUAUGGUAGUUUGAGCGUUCUUUGUCAUUUCCUUUCUAUGGGAUUGGAAUGAAAAUUGACCUUUCCCAGUCCUGUGGCCACUGCUAAGUUUCCAAAUUUGCUGACAUAUUGAGUGCAGCACUUUAACAGCAUCUUCUUUUAGGAUUUGAAAUAGCUCAACUGGAAUUCCAUCACCUCCACUAGCUUUGUUCAUAGUGAUGUUUCCUAAGGCCCACUUGACUUCACACUCCAGGAUGUCUGACUCUAGGUGAGUGACCACACCAUUGCAGUUAUCCAGGUCAUUAGGACUUUUUUGUGUGUAGUUCUUUCGUGUAUUCUUACCACCUCUUCUUAAUCUCUUCUGCUUCUGUUAGGUCCUUGCCGUUUUUGUCCUUCAUCAUGCCCAUCUUUUCAUGAAACAUUCCCUUGAUAGCUCCGACUUUCUUGAAGAGAUCUCUAGUCUUUCCCAUGGUAUUAUUUUCCUCUAUUUCUUUGUGUUGCUCACUUAGGAAGGCUUUCUUUCCUCUCCUUGCCCUUCUCUGGAACUCUGCAUUCAGUUGUGUAUCUCUUUCCCUUUCUCCCUUGUCUUCCACUUCUCUUCUUUCUCAGCUGUUUGUAAAGCCUCCUCAGAGGCUUAGCAAGUAUAAUGAGCAGCUUUACUCACGAAGGUGUGAUGGGUGACACGCUUUUCUCGUGGCUUCUCUGGUUCUUUGGAAGUUGUUUAUGUAAAUACUUCUGUACAAAGGCCACUGUUACUGUGACUGGCAGUGUGUUCACCGCGUUGCUCUCGUGGCGCUGCUGGUUCUUAAGCUCCUGUUACUGCUGCUCACACCUGGGCUGCAGUUAGUUCACUAUUUCAGUAAUUCGACCUCUGCCGCUGCUUCUGCUAUGUGUAUGUCCUCCAGUGCAACUGCUUCUCCGGGUGUUACUAUGGUACUGUUAUCACCUCGACCGCUGUUUGGGCAUUUCAAUGAUUUUGGGGCAUUUUAGUGUAAAAGAACCUCCAGGACUAGAAGCCAGAGGUCAAGGCGUGAUUCUAGUUUGGCCACAAAUCAGGAGAAGCUCGCUCACCGUCUGAGUAGGUUUCCCCACCUGACAAAUGCAGUGCCACCUUUUUCCAAGUCCCCCCAGAGAGUCGCCAUGAGAUUCAAAUGAGAUAACGUUCUGCAAAGACACUGAGUCCCGAGAGGUUACCUGGGAGGUUCUGAUGCCUUGGCUUCUUUCUUCAUUUGUCCCAGAAAGACUCAGCCCUGUGUGUGUAUGUGUUGUGUGUGUGUGGUGUUGUGUGUGUGUGGUGUUGUGUGUGUAUGUGUUGUGUGUUUUAUGUUGUGUGUAUGCGUUGUGUGUAUGUGUGGUGUGUGUAUGUGUUGUGUGUGUACGUGUGUGUGUAUGUGGUGUGUGUGUAUGUGGUGUGUGUAUGUGGUGUGUGUGUGUGUGUGGUGAGUGUGUAUGUGGUGUGUGUGUAUGUGUGGUGUGUGUGUGUGGUGUGUGU